CUGAGCUUUCUUUCCUGUCAGGAGGGGAAAACAGAUAUGAAUGUCUGACAUUGAACAAGGGACACAAUGGCUUCUCUGUGCUGCCAGCAGCAACCUCUGUGUGGCUCUGUGGUCAGGAUGCUCAGCGUUGUGUGGACAGGCAGUGACAGGGUUUGGGGAGGGCCUCAAUUUCCAGAGGAACAGCUGAGGAGCAGGAGGAGAGAAGGCUUUGUGUCAGGCACAUGAAAUGAUGCCAGCUCAGGCCACCUCAGAAGAUGGGCUCUUCAAAAGCCAGAGGCUGUCAAUGGGAAGCCAAAGUCUGGGGUGGUUUGUGAAGAGACUGCCUUGGACCCAAUGGAGACAGGGCCAGUGAACAACCUACCAAGAAGGGACUGUUGAGUUGUGAAUCCACCACCAGUCACAGGGAGCCAUGAGCAGCAUGGCCUCUAGCCUGCCGUGUACCUGGAAGAGACACUGGACUAGGCUUUCCUGCUCCUAUAUCUAUUACUCGCUGGAUGGAGUAUGGCCUCAUGAAGGAAGUGUGGGCUUGAUCAAGGGGAUUGUCUUCAGGCAAGACAGCUUCGCAGAGCGAUGGCCAAGAGAGAUCUCUGGCAGCUGUGAGAACAAGCCUUAAUUCCUGAAAAGGAGCCUGGGCCUCAUGACAGAGAAUAACAGCGUGUCUGUGUGUGGGGUGUGAGCAGAGCGGGCAUGAGCUUUCGUCUGUUUUCUGUUGCUGCAAUUAGAUGCCUGAGGUUUAAAAAGAAGUCUGUUUAGUUCAUACUUCUGAAGCUAGAAAUCAGUUGACUCCAUCUGUUGAGCUUCUAAUAGCUCCCUCUAACCCCCUUCUGCAAUAUAACAUAGCAAGUGGCACACCCAGUGAUGGAGGCACGUAUAAGAUGGAGGGACCAUGAGACGAAGCAGGAAGCCAGGGACUGAGAAGGGGACUGUCUGGCAGCAUUCCACUCUUGUCGGGACUCACCAACGCUCCGUGGAACUAAAGGAAUUCCUUCCGAGGGUGUUGUGCCAGGGAUCAGGCAGUCUUCCAUUAGGCCUAGUUCUCAGCUCUUAGUGCUGUCACCCUGGAGACCGGGUCCCAGCAUGGUACCCUUUGGGGAUACACUGUAGCAGAAGGGUCAGAGAAAGGGAAGAAGGAAGAGGGAGAUGUCUAUAACAUGAGGUGGCACGAUGGUAGGACUAACAAGGUCGAUGCUUCAACUUUUUUCUUUUGCAAUAUUAUCUUUACCCAUUUUUAGUCAAUCUGAAGAUCACAUGUACAUAGAUAACUUUAAUAAAUUGCACAGUGUUAUACAAUUA